rnacentral:rRNA from 1 species
UACGAAGGGGGCUAGCGUUGCUCGGAAUGACUGGGCGUAAAGGGCGCGUGGGCGGUUUGUACAGUCAGAUGUGAAAUUCCUGGGCUUAACCUGGGGGCUGCAUUUGAUACGUGCAGACUGGAGUGAGGAAGAGGGUCGUGGAAUUCCCAGUGUAGAGGUGAAAUUCGUAGAUAGUGGGAAGAACACCGGUGGCGAAGGCGGCGACCUGGUCCUUGACUGACGCUGAGGCGCGAAAGCGUGGGGAGCAAACAGG